CUCACAAAGUCACUAGCUUAAAUAAUUUAAAUAUAAUUUUUGUAACAAAAUGGAACCCGUUUUUAAGACAUUGCGCAACCGUACCGUAUUAAAUGGGACCCCACCGAAAAGGAUAAGUAAUCAAAGAGAAAAUCAAACUUUCACAAAUGCAGUCGAGGAGAACAAAAUACAAAAUAGUAAUCAAAAAAAUGCGGCCAAUGAAAUUCAAAAAAAUAACAUUCAAGGAAAUGAUGCAAAUGGAAUUCAAGAUAAUAACAAUCAAGAUGUUUCAUUUCUGCAAUUUAUUGAUCCAGAAGAAAGAAUUGAAAGAAUGGAACCUGCGUAUAAUGAAACCAACGAAGUUGAAAAUGUUGAUGACGAUCUUAUAUUUGUGAGUGAUUCAAGGGAUCCGGUGGAUAUAAUCGAUCUUACUCAAAUUGAUGAAGAUUUUUAUUAAAUUAGUCGAUAAUAUCGAAAAAAAAUAAUUUACACAAGGCCCAAAUUAUCCGGAGGGAUUUAUCAACCUAUAAAGCCAAAUUAUCAUAAACUAUGAUCAAACCGAAAACUAGAUAAUGGUGAUCCCAAGCGCCCAAAAAAAAACGGAGAAAAACCAUUAAGAAAAGGAGAAUUACAUAGCUCAACCAACUCAAUUAUUAACUUUCAUGAAUGGCGGGUAAAUUUUGCAAAGCGCCAUCUGCUGCGGCUGCAUUUACUUUUUUGGUGUUUUUUUCAGUUUUUAUAUUUAAUUUGCCGUCUCUCACAAAAUUCCCUCUGCUCUUUACUUCGAUUUUUUGCUUCCCGUAAAUUGUAUUAAACGUAUAUAAUUAAGUUGGCCCAACUGGAGGUAAUAAAUUAUGACCCCCAGCCCCCGGAAACCGUUGGCGGAAACUUUUUCCGAUCAUUGCCGUUGCGACAGACAAAUCGAAUUAGCGACAAAUGUGUACUUUUUUUGUGUAAUGUUCCCAAUUUAAACUCAUUUAAUGCCCGAUGAAGGAUUUAAAUGGUCGGCACAACCCAUGUUAAAUGCUAAUCUCUAACAGCUGUUCCAUAAGUCAAGUGAGAUGUCAUGCGAGUGGCGAGCAAAAAAAAAAAGGUUUUCACAACGAACGUUCAUCAUGGCAUGAAUUACGGGGGCGUCAAACUGUCAAGCACCCAACCCCCCAUCCCCAAACCCCCCAUUUUUUGUGAGUGUAACACCCACUUCAAGCAAGACAGAUGAACUAGGACUCUUUUUCCAUAUAACAAGGAUGCAGUGAGCCUCUAUUUCCUGUGACUAUUGCUAUUCAUAAAAAUUGCUCAAUUCCGCUGGCGUUGGCUGGUUUUACGGCUUUUUAUUUUAGCCGGCUUUGUCUCGUUGUAUCGCUGACACCCCUCUUAAAAACCGGCGGGCAGAGAUUUUUCAUGCAAACAAGUGAUAUUUUUGUUGACAACUCCCCCACUCUUCUAUUUCGGUCGGUGGCUAAAAAAAACAACAUUUAUGCCUAACAUGUUAGGCUGAAAAAAGAGCAGACAACGCCGGCAAAGUGGGUUGAGUGGAUUGUUUAUACUGCAACACAUCCAAAAGCACAUCCACCCACCCGCCAACCUUUUUAAACUAGGUUUUAAACUCCCAGUAGUUGGCUUUAAAAAAAAUUAUGCCUCAAAUUAUGCAAUGUCAUGUGUGUGGACCACCAGAGAAGUACGCCCAAAAAAUAUUCGCAAAUUUUGCAAUGCUGGCAAAAAUUUGCCAGGACAUAAAUUGUUAUUUGAUUAAAUUUUUAGCCAGCAAACAUAUUUCAGUAUGUAAAAAGAAACGAUUGAAAAUAAUAACAAUAUUUAUUUGCAGCAGCAAUUUGUGCAACAGUUGCAAGUUUCAAAUUCAUAUUCCACCUGCAAAAGAGCAAGUUUGUGAGAUAACAAAAAUAAAAACAAACAAGAUAAGAUAAAAAUAUUGAAUGGAACCUUGCCAAAUUUUAGAUUUUCCCAUAAAAUUUGUUAGUUCAAGCAUGAACAUUACCAAUGAAUUCUGAUAACGUGAAAUGUUUUAAAUCGAACUAUUACCUAGAUACUAAUAACCUAAUUUUAUUGUUUCAGUACCAAUAAAUUUCAAACGUGUUCUUAUCUUUA